CCUACGGGUGGCAGCAGUGGGGAAUAUUGCACAAUGGGGGAAACCCUGAUGCAGCGACGCCGCGUGAGCGAAGAAGUAUCUCGGUAUGUACAGCUCUAUCAUCAGAGAAGAAAAUGCCGGUACCUGACUAAUAAGCCCCGGCUAACUACGUGCCAGCAACCGCGGUAAUACUUAGGGGGCAAGCGUUAGCCGGAUUUACUGGGUGUAACGGGCGCGCAGGCGGCGCGGUAAGUCGGAUGUGAAAGCCCGGGGCUCAACCCCGGGACUGCAUUGGAAACUGUCGUGCUGGAGUGUCGGAGGGGCAAGUGGAAGUCCUGGUGGAGCGGUGAAAUGCGUAGAUAUUAGGAGGAACACCAGUGGCGAAGGCGGCUUGCUGGACGACAACUGACGCUGAGGCUCGAAAGCGUGGGGAGCAAACAGGAUUAGAUACCCCUGUAGUC
rnacentral:rRNA from 1 species